AAAAGUAAGCUGUUCUUGCUCUACAGUCCAUCACAGUCUACAGUUUGAUUAUUGAGUAUAUUAUUAUCAAUAAUAUAUAUAUAUAUAUCCAGUACAAUAAUGAAGAUUGCUGUCCUUCUUGUCAUUAGUUGCUUCAUUGCUACUGCUUACAGUCUAAGGCGUCCACAUUUUGAAGAGAAUUCCUUUGAUGCUGAAGAAAUGCUUGGGAAUGAAGUUGAUGGUAAGCUAAUACCUAUUGGCUACAUAAAUA